GAGAAUUUGGGCUUAGGAACACCACUAAGAAGAGGUCCACUUUGGGAACACCACCAGGAGAGCUCCAGUUUGCAGGCUGGGUGCUGGGCACAGCCCUUCAUUCCAUUUCCUCAGGACACACUGCUCUGCCUCUGCACUGGUCAUAUUUUGCUUCUGACUGCUCCCUCCAUCCCACAUUACGGACACUGGAGCUGCUUUCAGUGACAUUAAAACCAGCUUUUUUAAGUGGGUGGCACUGCUUCCCACAUAAAUGAAUCUCUGCUGCUAUGCACCAGUACAGAGGAUGCGAUACCAGCCAGAAAUCUGGGUGUUUGCCACCUGGCAAUGGUGUGCUUUCCUCCCACACCUUGACCUGUGCUCCAGGACAGGAAAGUGGAGAAUUUUUUAUCUUUAUGGCAUGCAGAGGUCUAAAUGACAACUACCUUUAAUACUGUAAACUGUCUCCGCUUCUCUUUCUUUCAGCUCUUCAAAGAAGCUUUCGCUCACAUCUUCCAAGGCCUGAAAGUGAAACAGCUUAUUAGGAAAACCUCUAGAAGUACAGUUCCAUACUUAAUAUCUCUGCUAUCAUUACCUCCUCCUUUCCUACCUACUCUCGGCAACAACAUCCUUCAUUUCUCCCCGCAGUCAUCCUUGCCUGCUGCUAUCCCUUAUUAAAUGCCUCCUCCCCUGAAGAUUCCAUCUCUCACACUAUAAUUUUUCUUCCAGCAGGAGCAUGGGCUCCACUUGAGCUCUGGACAUCCCUGAGGGAUCACCAGAGAGGAAGGUGCCCAUGGUGUAACUUGCCUGGGUAGCUGCUGCCGUUAGAUCAUCCACAAUCCACCGAGGUGGAGACCAGAACACCCAGAUUGCUUUACCUGGCUCACCGGCCAUGCCCAAAUGUUCUCCAGGUAAGGAUGGCCUCUUGAGCAGCUUCAUCAUGUAUAACCUUCGCCUUCUGAAGAGCUUCUUCAAAGUUCACGAUUGCAGACCGAUAAUCCUUUAAUUGUACUGCAACAGACAAAUGAAAACAUCAAUUUUAACUACCACAGCGUGGAGCUGCCACUCAACAUCUCCCUCUUCAUUUGCUGACUGCAAGGACUUCUCUCCAUAAUUACGGGCUGCUUCAGCUUGAUUGAGCUCAAAGUAACAUCGGCCAAUUUCAUGGAACAGCCAGGUCUUCUCCAGGCUGGAUUUUGCCAUUGGAAUCUUCUCCUCCCAUCUUUACGCGCAGAGGCUCUGGAUACGGCAUCUGGCAGGUUGCUGCGUUGAAAAGAAAAAGAAAUCAUCACUGAAAUAGUCUUGUUCCUGAUACAGCCUGCGCUUUCUUCAGCUUCACGAUUUCUUUGGUGCUCAACAUGACUUCAGGAGAAAUGUUGAGAAUUAAAGGUAAAGGACUGAUGUCAGCCUGAAAGGCAGAAAAUCAAGCCUCCUCUUCUCCAGGCUGAACAACCCCAACUCUCUCAGCUUGUCCUUGGAUGGUUCUCCAGCCCUCGGAUCAUCUCCGUGGCCCUUGUGGUCCUUAGAAAUCCCUGACCAGUGCCUGGGUCCCUGACACGAAUGGAUAAUUCCUUUCCAAGAGGAAAGGGAAGACCCCAAAGCCUGCCUGCAAAGUGCAGACUUCUACAAGCCUCUGGGCUUCGUUCCCAUCUUCCAACGUGGCCUGCUUUGAUUACCCUUGCCUUGCAAAUGAAAAACCUGAUGAGAGGAUAAAGCAUCGCUGAGGGCAAUGGGCAUCAUUAACAAUAUCUCGCUGCACCCCAGCCACAGCAGGGCCGGCUCCCCCUCAUCAUCCCAGCAUUUCAGCCCCUUAAACACUAUUUCAUAUUGGUUUAAAAAGUACUAAAAUUACAUAUCUCAUUCCUGCCCAUUUUUAAGUUUAUUUGGUGUAACUGGGGAGCGGAGAUCACCAGGACAGAGGCAGAAAUUUCCUAAACCACUAUUAAUUUUAAGAAGUGAUUUGUGAAAACAAUAAAUGUUGUUAACGUUAACAGCCUUAAGUGGUAUUGGUGAAAAUCAAAUCAAAAUAACUUCAAUUCAAGUAACUAUUUUUUCUCAC